CCGCCCCCCACCUCGUCUUUAGGAGAAGUCGGGAAGGUGGCAGCGG
rnacentral:miRNA from 1 species